CUUGGGAAAGGGAGUUUGUUCCAGCACGUGCUGACACUGACAUGACAGAAGCAGCAAGGCUGAAUGUUCUUGGUAUGAAUCAUCCACAGUGUGUCCAAGGACAAGAGCUAACGAGGUAAAAAGUUGUGUGAAAGAACUUACAUGGCCUGCCCAGAACCUGAUUUCCACCUCACUGAACACUUUCAGGAUAAAAUGGAAUGCUGACUCUGUGACGGGUCAGGUGCCCGCCUUUUCAGCCCCAAUGUCACCUUCUACUCUAAUGUAGUUGUACUGAAAGAGUGUGGUUAUGAGACGAUUCCCAGGGUCGUGGAUGCCUGCGAGCUAUCUCUCCCCUAGUGCUACAUCCUCCCUUAAGGCCCCAGUGUUGCCUACCACGCCUCUUCAGACCUCCUUGGCUUUGUUGGGCAAAGCAUACAUGGCGGCAUGUCAGGCUGCACACUAUGGCAGUCUUGCAGGCACUCUUGCCAUCAAGAAGCACUUGUGGUUGACUUUUUCUGAUCUCAGUGGCAGGGACAGAACCUUUCUUCUAGAUGCCCCUGUCAUGGCAACUGGCCUGUGCACCAAUUAAAAUCUUAUUCAUGUCUA